GACGAACGCUGGCGGCGUGCUUAACACAUGCAAGUCGAACGGAAAGGCCCUGCUUUUGUGGGGUGCUCGAGUGGCGAACGGGUAAGUAACACGUGAGUAACCUGCCCUUGACUUUGGGAUAACUUCAGGAAACUGGGGCUAAUACCGGAUAGGAGCUCCUGCUGCAUGGUGGGGGUUGGAAAGUUUCGGCGGUUGGGGAUGGACUCGCGGCUUAUCAGCUUGUUGGUGGGGUAGUGGCUUACCAAGGCUUUGACGGGUAGCCGGCCUGAGAGGGUGACCGGCCACAUUGGGACUGGGAUACGGCCCAGACUCCUACGGGAGGCAGCAGUGGGGAAUAUUGCACAAUGGGCGGAAGCCUGAUGCAGCAACGCCGCGUGCGGGAUGACGGCCUUCGGGUUGUAAACCGCUUUCGCCUGUGACGAAGCGUGAGUGACGGUAAUGGGUAAAGAAGCACCGGCUAACUACGUG
rnacentral:rRNA from 1 species